AUGCCGAUGGCCUAAUGGAUAAGGCGUCGGUUUCCGGAGCCGAAGAUUGUGGGCCGAGUCUUGCUCGGGAUG
rnacentral:tRNA from 1 species